rnacentral:rRNA from 1 species
ACACUCCUACGGGAGGCAGCAGUGGGGAAUAUUGCACAAUGGGCGCAAGCCUGAUGCAGCCAUGCCGCGUGUAUGAAGAAGGCCUUCGGGUUGUAAAGUACUUUCAGCGGGGAGGAAGGCAAUACGGUUAAUAACCGUGUUGAUUGACGUUACCCGCAGAAGAAGCACCGGCUAACUCCGUGCCAGCAGCCGCGGUAAUACGGAGGGUGCAAGCGUUAAUCGGAAUUACUGGGCGUAAAGCGCACGCAGGCGGUCUGUCAAGUCGGAUGUGAAAUCCCCGGGCUCAACCUGGGAACUGCAUUCGAAACUGGCAGGCUUGAGUCUUGUAGAGGGGGGUAGAAUUCCAGGUGUAGCGGUGAAAUGCGUAGAGAUCUGGAGGAAUACCGGUGGCGAAGGCGGCCCCCUGGACAAAGACUGACGCUCAGGUGCGAAAGCGUGGGGAGCAAACAGGAGUAGAAACCCUUGUAGUCCCA